rnacentral:rRNA from 1 species
UUAUAUAUAUUUUUUUUUCCCCCGUCAGACGAACGCUGGCGGCGUGCUUAACACAUGCAAGUCGAACGGAAAGGCCCCUUCGGGGGUACUCGAGUGGCGAACGGGUGAGUAACACGUGAGUAACCUGCCCUUGACUUCGGGAUAACUUCAGGAAACUGGGGCUAAUACCGGAUAGGAAUCCUUGCUGCAUGGUGGGGGUUGGAAAGCUUCGGCGGUUUUGGAUGGACUCGCGGCUUAUCAGCUUGUUGGUGGGGUAGUGGCUUACCAAGGCUUUGACGGGUAGCCGGCCUGAGAGGGCGACCGGCCACAUUGGGACUGAGAUACGGCCCAGACUCCUACGGGAGGCAGCAGUGGGGAAUAUUGCACAAUGGGCGGAAGCCUGAUGCAGCAACGCCGCGUGCGGGAUGACGGCCUUCGGGUUGUAAACCGCUUUCAGCAGGGGCGAAGCUUGUGGUGACGGUACCUGCAGAAGAAGCACCGGCUAACUACGUGCCAGCAGCCGCGGUGAUACGUAGGGUGCGAGCGUUGUCCGGAUUUAUUGGGCGUAAAGAGCUCGUAGGUGGUUGAUUGCGUCGGAAGUGAAAACUUGGGGCUUAACCCUGAGCGUGCUUUCGAUACGGGUUGACUUGAGGAAGGUAGGGGAGAAUGGAAUUCCUGGUGGAGCGGUGGAAUGCGCAGAUAUCAGGAGGAACACCAGUGGCGAAGGCGGUUCUCUGGACCUUUCCUGACGCUGAGGAGCGAAAGCGUGGGGAGCGAACAGGCUUAGAUACCCUGGUAGUCCACGCUGUAAACGGUGGGUACUAGGUGUGGGGUCCAUUCCACGGAUUCCGUGCCGUAGCUAACGCAUUAAGUACCCCGCCUGGGGAGUACGGCCGCAAGGUAAAUAGAG